AAUCUCCAUUGUUCUACCCUUUUCCCAACCAUACAAUUACACAAUCAUUCCCAAAUGUCAAACCCAACUCACAUCUCUCACCAAAAGAUCCUAAGAACAUUAACUCCUCUUUGAAAUCUACAAGGGAUUUUUCACAACCUCAAAACAUUACUUAGCUCCUAACAACUUUGCUAGCCCCCUUUUUCUUUCUUUUUCUUCUUUUUUUUUUUUUUUUUUUUUUUUUUUUUUUUGGGGGUUUUUUUUUUUUUUUUUUUUUUUUUUUUUUUUUUUUUUUUUUUUUUUUUUUUUUUUUUUUUUUUUUUUUUUUUUUUUUUUUUUUUUUUUUUUUUUUUUUUUUUUUUUGAUGGGGGCCAAGACUUUUCAUAACUUGAGCUAGAGGUUUUUCUACUUAUCCCAAUAAGACAAUUCACUUAAACACAAUGAGUCAUUUCUUUUCCUUUUUCAUUGCUCCCAAAUCAUAAUCACAACU
rnacentral:lncRNA from 1 species